GAAGUGCGGCUUUACCUGAGGCGGCGCGAGGAGCUGAGCUCGGUGACGGGAGAAGGAGGCGUGGCUUCAGCGCCAUGGGCGCGAGAGCGGGCGGUUAGGAGAAGCAACUGCCAAAGGCGUGGCCUCGCUUCUUCGCCCGCUUUCGUGUGCCUGUUGUUACUGCUAUUUAUUCGCUUCCCCGUGGCCCCUGACGCCUUGCAGUUUUAGCUGCCUUAGUACAUAGGUCCCUAACGUGUGCUUGUUCCGUUGAGGUUGCUUUUAGGCGCGUUUAUGAAUUUAAACAGGUUAGCUGCCGACGUCCUCAUAGAAUCUCUUGUCACAGACCUGCGGCGCGUUCCUAUACAUUGCCUACUCAGAAGUAAGCCCCCCAGCGAGGCCUGGGCCUCUUCCAGACUUUGAGGCCCUUAGCCUCUGCUCCCCGCCCCCAGACGAAAAGGAGCCCGUACUCACCAUGAAGUUGUUACAGUGAAUAGACAAUGAGAGGGAAAGCAAGAGAGGUACAGGGACAAUAAACUCAGCCAACUCAUAACAACAUGAUGGAAUUUUGAUGGCCUGGCAAAUGUUACUGUUUUGAUCUUUUAUCAGGUAAAGAACAGUUUUGCCCAAAUAAUUUCCAUGUAAGAAACUGUAACAUAUAAAACAACCCUCUCUUUCUAGUGUGAAGUCAGAACCCAACCCAGGAUUUUGAUUAAUCUUCUAGAGAUUAAUUGGACACAACUGUCCAUUCAUCUAUCCAACCUCACAGUUCCUUGAUUCAUAUUCCAUUCCAUUUAUAUUAUAUCAGAACUGUAAUGUUUAAUACAAAUCGAUGUACAAUUAUACCAAAUAUGGUUCAAAUGUGGGCUCUUCCUGUAAAGGAUGAGUUUAUUUUUAAAUGUUAUUAAGAAGCGCACAAAUUGCAAUUGUUACUAAGAGAAUAAUCUCAGCAACUGAACAGUUAGCGAGCUGUGUGUAUUCUUGAAAAGUUGUCUCCAUGGUUGUCAAAUCAUAACUUGCCUUUAAGUAAGAA